rnacentral:lncRNA from 1 species
GUUCGUCAUCCGGAAAUAUGUGAUGAGUAUUACCUGUGCCUCGGAGGUCUUCGCAUAUCGCUAUGGUGCCCAUGGUGCUCAUGCAAUUAACAACGACUUCGAAAUCCGCUUCGCCUAAACCUUCAAAGGAACUGACGCCUACGAAAUAAGAAAAAAAAGUAGAUUUUCAAUUCAAAAUCAAUUCACUAAAAAUGUUCAAGACAUUCGAGAUAAA